AGUGAACGCUGGCGGUAGGCCUAACACAUGCAAGUCGAACGGCAGCACAGUAAGAGCUUGCUCUUACGGGUGGCGAGUGGCGGACGGGUGAGGAAUACAUCGGAAUCUACUUUUUCGUGGGGGAUAACGUAGGGAAACUUACGCUAAUACCGCAUACGACCUACGGGUGAAAGCAGGGGAUCUUCGGACCUUGCGCGAUUGAAUGAGCCGAUGUCGGAUUAGCUAGUUGGCGGGGUAAAGGCCCACCAAGGCGACGAUCCGUAGCUGGUCUGAGAGGAUGAUCAGCCACACUGGAACUGAGACACGGCCCAGACUCCUACGGGAGGCAGCAGUGGGGAAUAUUGGACAAUGGGCGCAAGCCUGAUCCAGACAUACCGCGUGGGUGAAGAAGGCCUUCGGGUUGUAAAGCCCUUUUGUUGGGAAAGAAAAGCAGCAGGUUAAUACCCCGCUGUUCUGACGGUACCCAAAGAAUAAGCACCGGCUAACUUCGUG
rnacentral:rRNA from 1 species